rnacentral:rRNA from 1 species
CGGGUGAGUAAUGCGUGACCAACCUGCCCCAUGCUCCAGAAUAGCUCUUGGAAACGGGUGGUAAUGCUGGAUGCUCCAACUUGACGCAUGUCUUGUUGGGAAAGUGUUUAGUGGCAUGGGAUGGGUCGCGUCCUAUCAGCUUGUAGGCGGGGUAAUGGCCCACCUAGGCUUCGACGGGUAGCCGGCCUGAGAGGGCGGACGGCCACAUUGGGACUGAGAUACGGCCCAGACUCCUACGGGAGGCAGCAGCG